GCAACGAUUAUGGCAGCUCGGAGCAUGAGCAGGAGCUGAAGCACCACCAUCGCGUUCACCACCAGGAGCACCCGGGUGGCGUCCAUGGUGAUGGGGAUGAUGAUCCCAAGGCCGAGGGUGAGGGCUACCUGCGAGGAUGAAGGCUAGAACGAGCUCUCCGAGGCUUUGAAGAGGAGGGGUUCAAUUAGGAUGAGGAGGUGAAGGAUGUGGAGCUAGCGCUAGACCCUGUAGAGUACAGGUUGUCACGUGGCUUAUGGCCCUCGGUAGGAUCAGCGAUUGUGAGUAUGUUUUGUUUUUCACCAGAUUUGACAUUUCACGUGGGUUGCUGAUGUGCAGUUUUGCUUUUGCUUUUGUAGGGCGGGCAGAGGAGAAUGUUGAGGAUCACAUAAAUGGUGCGCAGAUGGUCAUUUAUGUUUCCUUUUCUUGGAUGGAUUUAAUUUUUGUAUUUGAAGCUGGAAGUUGGGAGCACUCGAGUUUUGAUUAAAUGACCUUGGACCGACAACAAUGCUUAUUUUGUUAAUGCGUGUAAUUAUUGUUGGUAGAUGUGUAAUUUUUCAUAGGGCAUUUGAG
rnacentral:lncRNA from 1 species